rnacentral:rRNA from 1 species
UACGGGGGGGGCAAGCGUUGUUCGGAAUUACUGGGCGUAAAGGGCUCGUAGGUGGCCAACUAAGUCAGACGUGAAAUCCCUCGGCUUAACCGGGGAACUGCAUCUGAUACUGGAUGGCUUGAGUCUGGGAGAGGGAUGCGGAAUUCCAGGUGUAGCGGUGAAAUGCGUAGAUAUCUGGAGGAACACCGGUGGCGAAGGCGGCAUCCUGGACCAACACUGACACUGAGGAGCGAAAGCCAGGGGAGCAAACGGG